rnacentral:rRNA from 1 species
UACGAAGGGGGCUAGCGUUGCUCGGAAUCACUGGGCGUGAAGGGCGCGUAGGCGGAUCUUUAAGUCGGGGGUGAAAGCCUGUGGCUCAACCACAGAAUUGCCUUCGAUACUGGGGAUCUCGAGACCGGAAGAGGUGAGUGGAACUGCGAGUGUAGAGGUGAAAUUCGUAGAUAUUGGGAAGAACACCGGUGGCGAAGGCGGCGACCUGGUCCGAUACUGACGCUGAGGCGCGAAAGCGUGGGGAGCAAACAGG